rnacentral:rRNA from 1 species
UGGGGAAUUUUGGACAAUGGGCGAAAGCCUGAUCCAGCAAUGCCGCGUGUGUGAAGAAGGCCUUCGGGUUGUAAAGCACUUUUGUCCGGAAAGAAAUCCUCUGAGUUAAUACCUCGGGGGGAUGACGGUACCGGAAGAAUAAGCACCGGCUAACUACGUGCCAGCAGCCGCGGUAAUACGUAGGGUGCAAGCGUUAAUCGGAAUUACUGGGCGUAAAGCGUGCGCAGGCGGUUUUGUAAGACGGAUGUGAAAUCCCCGGGCUUAACCUGGGAACUGCAUUCGUGACUGCAAGGCUAGAGUAUGGCAGAGGGGGGUAGAAUUCCACGUGUAGCAGUGAAAUGCGUAGAGAUGUGGAGGAAUACCGAUGGCGAAGGCAGCCCCCUGGGCCAAUACUGACGCUCAUGCACGAAAGCGUGGGGAGCAAACAGGAUUAGAUACCCUGGUAGUCCACGCCCUAAACGAUGUCAACUAGUUGUUGGGGAUUCAUUUCCUUAGUAACGUAGCUAACGCGUGAAGUUGACCGCCUGGGGAGUACGGUCGCAAGAUUAAAACUUAAAUGAAUUGACGGGGUCAUAGCUGUUU